AAUAGCUGGUUUCCUCCGAAGUUCCCUCAGGAUAGCUGUAAUGCAUUUAGUUAAGGGGAGUAGAGAUAUGGGUAGAGGUGCAGGGAGCCUUCGGGUUCUCAACUUAUUUCCAAACUUCGAACCUCCUUGUUAGGCAUUUACCUAACUGGAAAUGCUUAAAUGAAUUAGCGUUACAAGUGGGCUCUGACCGGUAAGCGGUCAUGGCGAAAUGGGAUGAACCAUACGUCUGAAUAAGGUGCCGAAAUGUACUAUCACUGAUACCAUAAAGGGAGUCCAUGUAUUUAGACAGCAGGUCGGUGCCCCUAAAAGCAGGUAUCCGCUAAAGAGUGUGUUAAAACUCACCUGCCGAAUACUAGGGCCCCGAAAAUGAAUGGCGCAUAUAGUACUACCGAUCUCAGACAUCAGUUCUAUUGAACUGAGAGUAGGGGGAUGUGGACAUUUUUGUGAAGGUGCAAUGUGAGUUGGACUGGAAGAAUGUCUAUUACAGAUCCUAAUUGAAGUAGCGAUUAUCCAGGCUUGUAUCCUGGGGGCUGAUGAGGAGUAGGGUUUCUGGACAACUUAAACAGAUCCAGAGUUAGUCGAUCCUAAUCUCAAUAAUGGGAGAAAGGGAGUACAGUUGAUAUUCUGUAACUGACAACAGUUCGCGGCAACGCAUACUAUUUUUCUCCGCCAAUCUUAUACCGUUGGUAGGGAUCUCUUUCCUACAUGACAGUACUAAUACCCAGGGAAACUGGUCAUCAGGCGAACUGCGGCGUUCUGCUGGCAAAACAUAGCUUCGGUUAUGUCAAUGGCUAUUGGAUUGGUCCAUGAAGCGAAAAAUAGUUUACUGUGUCACUCGUACCGAUAACCGCAUCAGGUCUUCUAGGUAAGUAGCCUAUGGCCAUUGAGGCAUGAUAGUUCAGGGAAUUCGGCCAAUUAGAGCUGUAACUUCGGGAUAAAGC
rnacentral:ncRNA from 1 species